rnacentral:rRNA from 1 species
CAUCGGUGACAGGUGGUGCAUGGUUGUCGUCAGCUCGUGUCGUGAGAUGUUGGUUAAGUCCCGCAACGAGCGCAACCCCUAUUGUUAGUUGCCAUCAUUCAGUUGGGCACUCUAGCGAGACUGCCGGUAAUAAACCGGAGGAAGGUGGGGAUGACGUCAAAUCAUCAUGCCCCUUAUGACCUGGGCUACACACGUGCUACAAUGGUUGGUACAACGAGUUGCGAGUCGGUGACGGCGAGCUAAUCUCUUAAAGCCAAUCUCAGUUCGGAUUGUAGGCUGCAACUCGCCUACAUGAAGUCGGAAUCGCUAGUAAUCGCGGAUCAGCACGCCGCGGUGAAUACGUUCCCGGGCCUC